rnacentral:lncRNA from 1 species
ACAAGCACCAUAAUCGGCCACAAUGAGUUUGUGCUGCAGUAUCCUCUAGUCCACAUAGAUCAUGGAUCGGAUCCGUUUUGAUACCAUUUGUCACAACUUAUGACCUCAUCCAAAAAGGCUAUCCGCAAGGUGUUAUUUAGAUUUUUUUUGGUUCUAUAUAAGUACCCAAGAUCCAUUUAGUGCAUAGCUGAUAGAGGACUAAAUACACGCCCUCA